rnacentral:lncRNA from 1 species
UCUCCACUGGUAACCUCCACUGGUAUAUCUCCACUGGUAUAAUCUCCACUGGUAACCUCCACUGGUGCUACUCUCACUGGUAUAUCUCCACUGGUAUAUCUCCACUGGUAUAUCUCCACUGGUAUAUCUCCACUGGUAACCUCCACUGGUUAUAUCCCACUGGUAUAUCUCCACUGGUAUAUCUCCACUGGUAUUCUCCACUGGUAUAUCUUCCCAACUGGUAACCUCCCACUGGGAUAUCUCCACUGGUAUAUCUCCACUGGUAUAUCUCCACUGGUAUAUCUCCAUGGAUAUCUCCACUGGUAUAUCUCCAUGGUACCUCCACUGGUAUAUCUCCCUGGUAUAUCU